GUAAGGGCACAGAAGCAGAACUUGCCUCCUUUUCCUGGGGCCGUGCUGUGUUAGUGCCCGCCGUGUGCGCGUGCUCUGCUUUGUGAGUCACGGAUGGGCCUCUGGGGUGAAUGUUUCCACGUCUGUAAGGCGGGGGAUAAGGACGGCCAGCUCCCAUUCCCAAGCCGCCUGGAGCGAAGCCACAGUGAGGAAUGGAACAUCUGGUGCAAAGAAUCGGUCCAGCUCCGCGAGACACGAGCUUCAUUCCUCUUUUGUUCAGUGCCAUAGCUCAGAUCCGGGUGUGCAGGAAUUGCUCAAUAAACAUCUGUUGAACGAAAGAA